rnacentral:rRNA from 1 species
GACGAACGCUGGCGGCGUGCUUAACACAUGCAAGUCGAACGGAAAGGCCCUGCUUUUGUGGGGUGCUCGAGUGGCGAACGGGUGAGUAACACGUGAGUAACCUGCCCUUGACUUUGGGAUAACUUCAGGAAACUGGGGCUAAUACCGGAUAGGAGCUCCUGCUGCAUGGUGGGGGUUGGAAAGUUUCGGCGGUUGGGGAUGGACUCGCGGCUUAUCAGCUUGUUGGUGGGGUAGUGGCUUACCAAGGCUUUGACGGGUAGCCGGACUGAGAGGGUGACCGGCCACAUUGGGACUGAGAUGCGGCCCAGACUCCUACGGGAGGCAGCAGUGGGGAAUAUUGCACGAUGGGCGGAAGCCUGAUGCAGCAACGCCGCGUGCGGGAUGACGGCCGUCGGGUUGUAAACCGCUUUCGCCUGUGACGAAGCGUGAGUGACGGUAAUGGGUAAAGAAGCACCGGCUAACUACGUG